rnacentral:rRNA from 1 species
ACGUAUGGUGCAAGCGUUAUCCGGAUUUACUGGGUGUAAAGGGAGCGUAGACGGUUGUGUAAGUCUGAUGUGAAAGCCCGGGGCUCAACCCCGGGACUGCAUUGGAAACUAUGUAACUAGAGUGUCGGAGAGGUAAGCGGAAUUCCUAGUGUAGCGGUGAAAUGCGUAGAUAUUAGGAGGAACACCAGUGGCGAAGGCGGCUUACUGGACGAUCACUGACGUUGAUGCUCGAAAGCGUGGGGAGCAAACAG